rnacentral:lncRNA from 1 species
CUCUAAAUGGACUGCUGAAAUAGUGUAGAACUCCUCUGCAACUCUGGGGAUUUAAUGAUUAACUGCAGAUUAUACAAAGUGUCAAAUAUGUGAUUUAAGUAAAUGUAGAGCAAUGGAAGUACAAGUUAUAUGCCUGAAUAAAGCAUAACCUGCAGGAAUCACAAGGGCUAAAAAUUCAGAAUGCAGAAAAUUUACAUAUGCCAAGAAGGUCACUGACCAAUAACCAUGUGUACUUCCAUAUUGCCCAAACAGGGGAUAAAAAUUGUUUGAUCUGCAGUUAAUCACCUAAGCAUUGGUGCUACUUUCCUUUUUCGUCCAAAACGGAACCAUCAUGUCUUAAGUUUCCUAAACAACAAUAGACAUGCAUAAGAAUCCUAGUAGUAAUUAAAAACUGACAUAAGAUGUCGAUCAAGCUUCAGAAACUUAGCGGUUGUAAAUUAAAAAAAACACAAAACACAUUGAGUUCCAUAAUUGUUUUCCUCCAAACCACAAUCCAUAACACCUGCAUAUAUCUCACCUGGAGUAUUAUUCAAAUAACCGUCUUCAUGCCUUCGAGUAUAUAUCACCUACAUUAUUAUUAACAAGUUAAAGACAUGUGCUACUUAGAAAGAUUAUGUUUUUGAUCUGGCAAAGCACUAAUCAAACAAUUCCUUUGCCCAUGAGUCUAGGUUUCCAACAAUUUACUGAGAAGGGCAAAAAAAGUGCAGCUUCUGUAGGACAUGCCAACACAGAAAAGUAAACAUGUAACAGAAGUGGGAGGGAGGGAACAAGGAUGAUGGUAUUUACAUGCAAGUUAUGGAGCUGAAUUUAUCCCUCUGACUGUC